rnacentral:rRNA from 1 species
UACGUAGGGAGCAAGCGUUGUUCGGAAUUACUGGGCGUAAAGAGUGUGUAGGCGGUGCUCCAAGUCUGGGGUGAAAUCUCGCGGCUUAACUGGGAGGGUGCAUUAGAAACUGGAAUGCUAGAGGAUGGGAGAGGUAAGCGGAAUUCCUGGUGUAGCGGUGAAAUGCGUAGAUAUCAGGAGGAACACCUGUGGUGUAGACAGCUUACUGGACCAUUUCUGACGCUGAGACACGAAAGCGUGGGUAGCAAACAGG